UACGGAAGGGGCAAGCGUUGUUCGGAAUCAUUGGGCGUAAAGGGCGCGUAGGUGGUUCUGUAUGUCUACCGUGAAAGCGUACGGCUCAACCGUAUUUUGUCGGUAGAAACUGCAGGACUUGAGGCUGGGAGGGGCUGGUGGAAUUCCCUGUGUAGCGGUGAAAUGCGUAGAGAUGGGGGAGAACACUCGUGGCGAAGGCGGCCAGCUAGACCAGUUCUGACACUGAGGCGCGACAGCGUGGGGAGCAAACAGG
rnacentral:rRNA from 1 species